CUCCUUUUCCUCUUUCUCCUCGACGACGUCACUGCCGCCG
rnacentral:antisense_RNA from 1 species